UACGUAGGGGGCAAGCGUUAUUCGGAAUUACUGGGCGUAAAGCGUACGCAGGCGGCUUUGCAAGUCAGGUGUGAAAUCCCCGGGCCUAACCUGGGAACUGCAUUUGUGACUGCAUGGCUAGAGUUUGUCAGAGGGGGGUGGAAUUCCACGUGUAGCAGUGAAAUGCGUAGAUAUGUGGAGGAACACCGAUGGCGAAGGCAGCCCCCUGGGAUGUGACUGACGCUCAUGUACGAAAGCGUGGGGAGCAAACAGG
rnacentral:rRNA from 1 species